AGCCGAUCCUAAGGGACGGGGUAACCCCGGCAGAUAGCGCGAUCACGCGCAUCCCCCGAAAGGGAAUCGGGUUAAGAUUUCCGUAGCCGGGAUGUGGCGGUUGACGGCGACGUUAGGAAGUCCGGAGACGCCGGCGGGGGCCUCGGGAAGAGUUAUCUUUUCUGCUUAACGGCCUGCCAACCCUGGAAACGGUUCAGCCGGAGGUAGGGUCC
rnacentral:ncRNA from 1 species